rnacentral:rRNA from 1 species
CAGCCGCCGCGGUAAUACGUAGGUGGCAAGCGUUGUCCGGAAUUAUUGGGCGUAAAGGGCUCGCAGGUGGUUUCUUAAGUCUGAUGUGAAAGCCCCCGGCUCAACCGGGGAGGGUCAUUGGAAACUGGGAAACUUGAGUGCAGAAGAGGAGAGUGGAAUUCCACGUGUAGCGGUGAAAUGCGUAGAGAUGUGGAGGAACACCAGUGGCGAAGGCGACUCUCUGGUCUGUAACUGACGCUGAGGAGCGAAAGCGUGGGGAGCGAACAGGAUUAGAUACCCCAGUAGUCCCUGUCUCUUAUAC